AAUGGGCGAAAGCCUGAUGCAGCGACGCCGCGUGAGCGAAGAAGUAUUUCGGUAUGUAAAGCUCUAUCAGCAGGGAAGAAAAUGACGGUACCUGACUAAGAAGCCCCGGCUAACUACGUGCCAGCAGCCGCGGUAAUACGUAGGGGGCAAGCGUUAUCCGGAUUUACUGGGUGUAAAGGGAGCGUAGGCGGCAAGGCAAGUCUGAUGUGAAAACCCGGGGCUCAACCCCGGGACUGCAUUGGAAACUGCUUAGCUAGAGUGUCGGAGAGGUAAGUGGAAUUCCUAGUGUAGCGGUGAAAUGCGUAGAUAUUAGGAGGAACACCAGUGGCGAAGGCGACUUACUGGACGAUAACUGACGCUGAGGCUCGAAAGCGUGGGGAGCAAA
rnacentral:rRNA from 1 species